rnacentral:rRNA from 1 species
AGAGUUUGAUCAUGGCUCAGGACGAACGCUGGCGGCGUGCCUAAUACAUGCAAGUCGAGCGAGCUUGCCUAGAUGAUUUUAGUGCUUGCACUAAAUGAAACUAGAUACAAGCGAGCGGCGGACGGGUGAGUAACACGUGGGUAACCUGCCCAAGAGACUGGGAUAACACCUGGAAACAGAUGCUAAUACCGGAUAACAACACUAGACGCAUGUCUAGAGUUUGAAAGAUGGUUCUGCUAUCACUCUUGGAUGGACCUGCGGUGCAUUAGCUAGUUGGUAAGGUAACGGCUUACCAAGGCAAUGAUGCAUAGCCGAGUUGAGAGACUGAUCGGCCACAUUGGGACUGAGACACGGCCCAAACUCCUACGGGAGGCAGCAGUAGGGAAUCUUCCACAAUGGACGAAAGUCUGAUGGAGCAACGCCGCGUGAGUGAAGAAGGGUUUCGGCUCGUAAAGCUCUGUUGGUAGUGAAGAAAGAUAGAGGUAGUAACUGGCCUUUAUUUGACGGUAAUUACUUAGAAAGUCACGGCUAACUACGUGCCAGCAGCCGCGGUAAUACGUAGGUGGCAAGCGUUGUCCGGAUUUAUUGGGCGUAAAGCGAGUGCAGGCGGUUCAAUAAGUCUGAUGUGAAAGCCUUCGGCUCAACCGGAGAAUUGCAUCAGAAACUGUUGAACUUGAGUGCAGAAGAGGAGAGUGGAACUCCAUGUGUAGCGGUGGAAUGCGUAGAUAUAUGGAAGAACACCAGUGGCGAAGGCGGCUCUCUGGUCUGCAACUGACGCUGAGGCUCGAAAGCAUGGGUAGCGAACAGGGUUAGAUACCCUGGUAGUCCAUGCCGUAAACGAUGAGUGCUAAGUGUUGGGAGGUUUCCGCCUCUCAGUGCUGCAGCU